ACUCCUGCGGGAGGCAGCAGUGGGGAAUAUUGCACAAUGGGCGCAAGCCUGAUGCAGCCAUGCCGCGUGUAUGAAGAAGGCCUUCGGGUUGUAAAGUACUUUCAGCGGGGAGGAAGGCGAUAAGGUUAAUAACCUUGUUGAUUGACGUUACCCGCAGAAGAAGCACCGGCUAACUCCGUGCCAGCAGCCGCGGUAAUACGGAGGGUGCAAGCGUUAAUCGGAAUUACUGGGCGUAAAGCGCACGCAGGCGGUCUGUCAAGUCGGAUGUGAAAUCCCCGGGCUCAACCUGGGAACUGCAUUCGAAACUGGCAGGCUAGAGUCUUGUAGAGGGGGGUAGAAUUCCAGGUGUAGCGGUGAAAUGCGUAGAGAUCUGGAGGAAUACCGGUGGCGAAGGCGGCCCCCUGGACAAAGACUGACGCUCAGGUGCGAAAGCGUGGGGAGCAAACAGGAUUAGAUACCCGGGUAGUCCCAUGAU
rnacentral:rRNA from 1 species